GAUGAAGAACGUAGCGAAAUGCGAUAAGUAAUGUGAAUUGCAGAAUUCAGUGAAUCAUCGAAUCUUUGAACGCACCUUGCGCCCUUUGGCUAUUCCGAAGGGCAUGCCUGUUUGAGUAUCAUGAACACCUCAACUCUCAUGGUUUGCCAUGAUGAGCUUGGACUCUGGGGGUCUUGCUGGCCUAUGGUCAGCUCCUCUCAAAUAAAUCAGCUUGCCAGUGUUUGGUGGCAUCACAGGUGUGAUAACUAUCUACGCUUGUGGUUUUCCAUCAGGUAACCUUCAGUGAUGGAGGUUCGCUGGGGCUCAUAAAUGUCUCUCCUCAGUGAGGACAGCUUUUUUGAACGUUUGAUCUCAAAUCAGGUAGGACUACCCGCUGAACUUAAGCAUAUCAAUAAGCGGAGGA
rnacentral:misc_RNA from 1 species